CUGCCUAAUCGCACUCUGCACCUCUCUCACGCAUCGCCUAUGUGCCUGAUGUAGAGGUUCAACUUAAGUAGGAUACGCUGUACACCUCCGCUUGGGGUCUGUACAGAAGAGAUUAAUCGAGCUAGUUAUUAACCAGGAUGUCUGUUUUCAGGUUAAUAGCGAAACUUAAUAACAGGACUACACACGUAGAAGUAUCAGCUGCAGGAUCCUUGGACGCGGGUUCGACUCCCGCCGUCUCCAUAC
rnacentral:tmRNA from 1 species